GUGCCAGCCGCUGCGGUAAUACGUAGGUGGCAAGCGUUGUCCGGAUUUACUGGGUGUAAAGGGCGUGCAGCCGGGAAGGCAAGUCAGAUGUGAAAUCCGUGGGCUUAACCCACGAACUGCAUUUGAAACUGCUUUUCUUGAGUAUCGGAGAGGUAAUCGGAAUUCCUAGUGUAGCGGUGAAAUGCGUAGAUAUUAGGAAGAACACCAGUGGCGAAGGCGGAUUACUGGACGACAACUGACGGUGAGGCGCGAAAGCGUGGGAGCAAACAGGAUUAGAUACCCUGGUAGUCCACGCUGUAACGAUCGAUACUAGGUGUGCGGGACUGACCCCCUGCGUGCCGCAGUUAACACACUAAGUAUCGCACCUGGGAGUACGAUCGCAAGGUUGAAACUCAAAGGAUU
rnacentral:rRNA from 1 species